CGGCCGGGUUGGCCUGGUCCAGGUCCAGCCCCCGGCGCUGGGCGUGCCGGCGGACCGCGGCGAGCAGCGUGGCGCCGUCCCGCGGCCGACCGGCCA
rnacentral:tRNA from 1 species